GCGAUACCUCACCAGUGAGCACGAUUUUCUAGCUAAUGUUAGUCCUCCCUGACCAAUGGACUAUUGACUUCGCUUUGUAACGCACAGUCUCUGGGAGUCAAAGAUUCUGCAGUCCAAAGCAGUGGAUGGCUUGGCCCUCAUGAAGAACACCAACUCAUCCGACUUUGUGCGGCAGCUCCCUCAACUAUGGACAGACUUUUACAAAACCUACAUCCUCUGUUGUGAUCCCUACAGGCCAACAUGUCCAGAGUUUCACAGCUAAGGGAAGUUACACGAAACUGUCAUACAUUUGAAUGAUAACUUUUGUUGUGCAGUGCAUGUCUGCAAACCGCUGUUUGGGAAAAGAGCUUACUGCUAGCCUGUAUAACGUUGAUUAAAUAAUUUGGUUGACAGGUGUAGAUUUACAUGGCAUUUUAGUCAUUUAGCAGAGACUUUUAUCCAGUGCGACUUAUAGUUAGUUCAUUCAACUCAAGGUACGACAACCACAUGUCAUAGUAAGUAAAACUUCCGUCAAUAUGUUUAAUGUUGGAGCCACACCCUGAUUGACAUGCCAAGUUGUCAAUAAGGUGUUCAGCAGCUUGAUCAGAGCCAUAGCAGCACCAAAUAUCAGAGCCAGGCUAGUAGCACUGUAUGGUUAGGGCCAGCACGAUGGUGUGAAAAAGGUAAGAGAGACCUCACCACCUUGUUGUUUUGUGGCAACCUUUUACAACUCACUGGGAUUGCGUUCCAAUAAUCUCUCCUUUCUCACAAAGUAUGCACUUGUUCAUUUCUCUUCAUGGAUCUGAAAGGAAAUUACUGAUGUAUGGAAAAUUCCUCUAGCACAGCGUUUCCCAACUCCGGUCCUCCAGUACCCCCAACAGUACACAUUUCUGUUGUAGCCCCGAACAAACUCUUGAUUCAACUUGUUAACUAAUCAUCAAACCCUGGAUGAGAAGAAUCAGGUGAGUUUGUCUGGGGCUACACCAAAAAUGUGUGCUGUUGGGGAUACUGGAGUUGGGCUGUUGUGUACUGGAGUUGGGCUGUUGUGUACUGGAGGACUUGAGUUGGGGAAACACGGCUCUAGCACAUGCCUACAUCAAUCCAAUGCUUUUAAAAUGAACGAGUGCACACUUUGGGAAGAAGGAGAGAUUAUUUGGACACACCCUGAGAGUGACUGUGGAAAAGCAGCAGCAGCCUAUUAAACCCCACGUUCUUAUGUGAUUCUGUACACACCAGGGUUGGUAACAAAUUUGUCUGGGAAAGGGCCUUAUGUUGUGUCUGGUAACAGGAGGACAGGUCAAGAUGACACUAUAUUAACCAUACAAAGGAUGGGGAUGGUGGGGCACAUUUUAAUUUAGGCCUAGAUGUGGGCAGAGCAAAGAAAGGUAAAAAGGAAAUCAGUCUUUAGAGCAUCCUGUUUGUGGGCAGCUAGGGUUUUUCUUCUCUCCCCUCUCUCUCAAUUUGAUGUUAAAGGACCAGUGCAGUCAAUUCUGUUUUCCUGUGUUUUAUAUCCUAUUGUACAGUAGACGAUGAAACGAACACUGUAAAAGUGUGAUCAGUGUUAUUUCUUGAUAGUUGCUGGUUGAAAAUUCAAUCUACACAGGAGCUUUAAAUGAGCAGGUUUGCAUGGACGGGAGUUCUGCUUUCCAUUGUGACAUCACCAUGUGGUAAAUUGGUUAAUUGAACAAUAACAAAGAGAGUUCUAAACCCCUCUGCCAAUAAAAGCAAUUUUUGCCACUUUUUCAUGGAAAUCUAUUACAGUAAUGUACUUAAUUGUUAUCCAGAAGUGAUUUGAUAUUUAUAUAAAAAUGGCUGGUUUGGGCCUUUAAGUAGCUACCUUUAGCACGUUUGAGUACCAUAAAACAGUCUUAUGUGUUUGGUUAUACUGUAGCGGCAUGAGUCAUGAUGUCAACAGUCCUCCUAUACUGUAUGAGUCAUGUCAAGCUGAACAGGAUCAUCUUUUUUCUACACGAGAACUGUAUGAUGACCUACUACAGUAACUAAUUUUUAUGAAAAUACAGACAGUGAUGUAGGCAAAUUGUUAGUGAGUUUUUAGAAUGGCAUAUCUAUAUCUCUGUGCACCUGAUGAGGUUAGAAUGUUUUCUUAUGCUUGUUAGACAGCCUCUAGUUUCCCAGGACUUGAGCCUGAACCCAGGACUCACUGGAAAACAGUGAACAACAAUGGGACUCUGGCCACCUUCUCUCUUCCUCCACGGAUGACCUACCCAGUCCAGAUCCCUGCAGGGGUCACAGCGCAGACAGCCUCUGCUUUACAAGGUCAACUUUACAGUGAUGGUGUCCCAGGCUCCAGCUGGCCACAGCCCUCUCCCCUCAGCUCCAGAAGGGGGUCCUGUAGUGGAGCGGAAAGAUCCUCGCUCAGAUUCCCAGCAGUCAGCUGUGGUGGUCCCUUCUACUGUCCUCAAGACCAUGACCCCUCCGAAGACAGAACCGUUCUCCCCACGGCCUGUGGCCCCUCCCACAGCUGUACCUCAGACACCAGAGCAGAAGACCCUGAUACGUCCAGUCCAUGUGAUGCCUCCGGUCCAGCCACCUGAUGAGAAGCCCGUGCUACCCAAACCCGUGGUCCAGCCCCCAGUUCAGGAGAACCAUCUCCUUCAGCAGCCACAGGUUGCUCAGGCACGCUUUUCUGUGCAGACUCCAGUGUCCUUUUAUUUCCGUUCCAACCGCCAUCUCACCCCCCAGAGAGCCCUUUUGACAGUGGUGAUUUCAAUCUGGAUGGGAUUGACUUCGACAGUCCACAGCCACAGCAGCUAGACAUGAGCCUGUCCUCGUCCCUCUCCUCUGGCUCUGCCCAGAUGCCAAGCCUUUAGGCAAAGUCUUCUAAGUUUUUUUUCAACGACUUGUGGACAACUCAGCCAUAUCUUCAUCAAAUAGUCAACAAUCUCAUGUAAUUGAAUUACAAUGGCAAGGCACGGUACUGCUAUAAUUAAUAAGACAGAGGCUUCCUCCCAAAUGACACCCUAUUCCCUACAUAGUACACAUCCUGACCAGGGACCAUAGGACUCUAGUCAAAAGUAGUGCACUUUUAUUGAGAAUAGGGUGCCAUUGGACAACAAGAGACCUGAGCCAAGGUUCAACAUACAGCUUACAUAAUCAUGUCUAUUUUACCCAGGUCAAGAUGAAGAUGAGCCUGUCUGAAGGGUCAUGGUUGGGGGUGGGUUGGAUUUCGGGGCCAGUGAGGUGGGGGUGGAGGAGAUGGUGAACAGGAGGAGCAGGAUAUGACAACACACCUGGAGGGUCGACCUGUGUAUG